rnacentral:lncRNA from 1 species
AAUCACCAUGAAGUUUAAUAAAUCUCAUAGGAGUUAGGAUGAAGAAGUUAUCCCACUUUCAAAUCAAGUGAUCCCAAUUUUCCUGUUUGGGAAUAUGACAACUUCUUUGUCAUUCUAAUCAAACUAGUAUGAAUCGCGAUCUGAGAAGCUGUAUUUGGAUUCUUAAAGUAGCGGAGAAUAACCAAAAAGUUGAAUAAAUCUCAUAGGAGUUAAGAUGAAGAAGUUAUCCCACUUUCAAAUCAGGUAAUCCCAGUUUCCCAAUUUGAUAAUAUGACAACUUCUUCGUCAUUCUAAUCAAACCAGGAUGAAUUGCGAUGUGAAAUGCUGUCUUUGGAUACAUAAAAUAGUGGAGAA